rnacentral:rRNA from 1 species
UAAGUAAGCUUUGAUCCAGAGAUUUCCGAAUGGGGAAACCCAGCAUGAGUUAUGUCAUGUUAUCGAUAUGUGAAUACAUAGCAUAUCAGAAGGCACACCCGGAGAACUGAAACAUCUUAGUACCCGGAGGAAGAGAAAGAAAAUUCGAUUCCCUUAGUAGCGGCGAGCGAAACGGGAAGAGCCCAAACCAACAAGCUUGCUUGUUGGGGUUGUAGGACACUCUAUACGGAGUUACAAAGGACGACAUUAGACGAAUCAUCUGGAAAGAUGAAUCAAAGAAGGUAAUAAUCCUGUAGUCGAAAAUGUUGUCUCUCUUGAGUGGAUCCUGAGUACGACGGAGCACGUGAAAUUCCGUCGGAAUCUGGGAGGACCAUCUCCUAAGGCUAAAUACUCUCUAGUGACCGAUAGUGAACCAGUACCGUGAGGGAAAGGUGAAAAGCACCCCGGAAGGGGAGUGAAAUAGAACCUGAAACCGUGU